AGUGAACGCUGGCGGUAGGCCUAACACAUGCAAGUCGAACGGCAGCACAGUAAGAGCUUGCUCUUACGGGUGGCGAGUGGCGGACGGGUGAAGAAUACAUCGGAAUCUACUUUUUCGUGGGGGAUGACGUAGGGAAACUUACGCUAAUACCGCAGACGACCUACGGGUGAAAGCAUGGGAUCUUCGGACCUUGCGCGAGUGAAUGAGCCGAUGUCGGAUUAGCUAGUUGGCGGGGUAAAGGCCCACCAAGGCGACGAUCCGUAGCUGGUCUGAGAGGAUGAUCAGCCACACUGGAACUGAGACACGGUCCAGACUCCUACGGGAGGCAGCAGUGGGGAAUAUUGGACAAUGGGCGCAAGCCUGAUCCAGCCAUACCGCGUGGGUGAAGAAGGCCUUCGGGUUGUAAAGCCCUUUUGUUGGGAAAGAAAAGCAGCAGGUUAAUACCCCGCUGUUCUGACGGUACCCAAAGAAUAAGCACCGGCUAACUUCGUG
rnacentral:rRNA from 1 species